rnacentral:lncRNA from 1 species
UUGGCUAAUCGAUGAUUAAGAAUCAUUCAAGGAUAAAAUCAUCAAUGCGAUUGAUGAUCAACCCUGUGCACUAGUUGCAAUAAAUUCAUUCGCUAAGGGUUAGUGAAUUAUUAAAAAAAUAAUUAGUAAUUAAAUUGCUGAUUAGUUCAAUUUGAUUAAGUAUUAAUUUUGGAUUAAGUAUAAUUGAAUUGGAUUCAAUUAGAUCGAAUCCGAUUAGGUUAUGUGAUGAUCGAAUCACUAAAGGAGAAUUAGC